AAUGAACGCUGGCGGCAUGCCUAACACAUGCAAGUCGAACGAAACCUUUCGGGGUUUAGUGGCGCACGGGUGCGUAACGCGUGGGAAUCUACCCUUGGGUUCGGAAUAACAGUUAGAAAUGACUGCUAAUACCGGAUGAUGACGUAAGUCCAAAGAUUUAUCGCCCAGGGAUGAGCCCGCGUAGGAUUAGCUAGUUGGUGUGGUAAAGGCGCACCAAGGCGACGAUCCUUAGCUGGUCUGAGAGGAUGAUCAGCCACACUGGGACUGAGACACGGCCCAGACUCCUACGGGAGGCAGCAGUGGGGAAUAUUGGACGAUGGGCGAAAGCCUGAUCCAGCAAUGCCGCGUGAGUGAUGAAGGCCUUAGGGUUGUAAAGCUCUUUUACCCGGGAUGAUAAUGACAGUACCGGGAGAAUAAGCUCCGGCUAACUCCGUGCCAGCAGCCGCGGUAAUACGGAGGGAGCUAGCGUUAUUCGGAAUUACUGGGCGUAAAGCGCACGUAGGCGGCUUUGUAAGUAAGAGGUGAAAGCCUGGAGCUCAACUCCAGAAUUGCCUUUUAGACUGCAUCGCUUGAAUCAUGGAGAGGUGAGUGGAAUUCCGAGUGUAGAGGUGAAAUUCGUAGAUAUUCGGAAGAACACCAGUGGCGAAGGCGGCUUACUGGACAUGUAUUGACGCUGAGGUGCGAAAGCGUGGGGAGCAAACAGG
rnacentral:rRNA from 1 species